rnacentral:misc_RNA from 1 species
UUUCCAGACCGCAUUUUAUUGAAGCGCUUCUACCGAUGUAUGUACGGUGACAUAAAAGGCGCCAAGAAGCUCAUAAAAAUUAAUUACAGUAUGCGCAAUAAGCAUUCGCACAUCUUUCUCGAACGUGACCCAACCGAUGCGGAUAGUAAACAAACAUUCGAUUAUGCGGAUCUGAUACCACUGCCGGGUCUUACACCAGAAGGUUACAAAGUGAGCUGUUAUCGUUUAGUAGAUUUUGAUCCAGCGAAGGUGAAUCAUACCGCCGAUACCAAAGCAUUUUUCAUGGUCUCCGAUUGUCGUUUUAACACAUAUGAUGGCUUUGCUUCCGACGAGGAGAAUGUAGAAACAUUUGCUAAUGGUGAUGUGCAAAUUUUCGAUAUGAAUGGCUACACACUGAAGCACCUCAGUAGGAUGACUUUCAGUACACUGCGCAUAUACAUGGCUUUCCUGCAGGAGGCAUUGCCCGUUCAUUUAAAGGCAAUCCAUAUCAUUAACUGCCCCCCAUAUCUGGAUAAGGUGGUUAGCAUUAUGAAGCCUUUUAUAAGUAGUGAAGUCUUCAAACUGAUACGAUUUCAUACCGUCAGCUUGGACAGCCUUUACGAACAUGUACCACGUAGCAUACUGCCGGAAGAAUAUGGCGGAACAGGGGGAAAAAUCGCAGACCUUAAGGCAAUACUUUUGUCUGAACUGGCGCACAAGAGAGAUUAUCUGAUGGAUCCAAGUCAUUGGAAAAUUGAAGCAGACAAGGAAAAUGCUGAGCGUCGCCGUUGGCUGUUUAAAUAAUACCUACAUAUGUAUUUGUUUUUUUUAUUAUUUAAAAGUUAAAUUUCAGAACCAAUCCAGUAACCAUGAUUAUUCUCUAUUUUAGCACAGUAUAAUUAAGAAAACGUUUAUUUAUGCGUGAAAACUUUUCUGUGAAACUAUGUAAUACAUGUUACAAAAAUAUUUUAUUUGGGUUUGUUCGCUUGUGGGUUUCUGCCAGUUGUUUUUCUUUCUGUACAUGAUCCGCGACUUUUCCUGAAACCCUAUUGAGUCUCGAAUGGCCAAAGAGGUCUUUCCAAAUGUUGUGCUCAACCUCAGUCUGCAUAGCCUUAUUCUUUUACACGGAUCCCCAAUUUAGACAUAGCAUCGUAGACGCAGGUUCUCUUCGUGCUUUCAAAAGCAGCUUUAAAAUCAAGGAAAAGGUGGUGAGUGUGAAUUUUUUUGGCGACAUUCCUUUCUAGGAUAUGGCAUACUGUGGAGAUCCGUUCAACAACCUAUACAUUGAUCUGGGGUUUUCUUCAACAAUCGAGCGUGUUUUCACCAUUUCUCUAGUUUACACUGGACGUCUGAUACAAAAUACCGAUCUUCGUUUAGCAGGAACUAGCCCCGGUCUUGAAACCAUUUGAUUGCUGUCUUAUUUUCUGAUAGAAUUUUCGAGCCACAUUCCUGCCUUCCACCCACCGAAGACGCUCCCAAAGUCGAAAGGUCCUUCCACGAGGUCAUAAAAAUAGAAUCACUUAAGCGGAAGCGACAUAACCUGCAUGCGCGUGUCACAAGCCGCAGCCAGUAUGCUAUAGAGGAAAACCAUCGAAAGAAUAAGUAUGCAAUAAUGAUUGAGGACAGCUGCCAUGGCUUCCUACGACGAUGACUGCUCUAUUUUGAUAACUAUCUCAACGAAGUGGAAAUACAUCGCCAGAAAUCUGCAAAAGAAUAGCAGUCGAGCCUAACAACUGCAACAUCUAGUUACUUUUCUUCAUUCUGCCAGAUUUGGCUGAUUAAACAUUGCAUGUGUUACUUUUUGAUGUUGUGUACGUUUAGGCCCCAUUGCGUGGCGAAUGUCAGAAUUGCAAAAGUGACUUCGUUGCGAGUGCACGUGUUUCCACUGUGUCGUGGGGUUGAUCGCGCAGAAGUUGCUAAAGUCGCGUGUGUGGAUUGUGGCGCCUACUUCCAUGCUUCAUGCGCCAAAAUUACCGCGUUUGAAUACAUGAAAUCAAACAACGUGAAGCAUCGCUGUGACGGUUGUAACUUUUUGCGUCGUAAGUCUGCAUCAGCAGCAGUUGCCAUGUACCACGGCUGUAGUAUCAUCAGAUUCGGGCUUAUCCGUUCCUUCUGGGUCGAGGAUUCUCCCACAUCCCGCCAGCAAAUCUUCGACGGCUGUGCUCCCUAAGCAAAACCC